rnacentral:rRNA from 1 species
CACGUAGGGUGCGAGCGUUGUCCGGAAUUAUUGGGCGUAAAGAACUCGUAGGCGGUGUGUCGCGUCGGCCGUGAAAACCUGCAGCUUAACUGUGGGCUUGCGGUCGAUACGGGCAUCACUGGAGUUCGGCAGGGGAGACUGGAAUUCCUGGUGUAGCGGUGAAAUGCGCAGAUAUCAGGAGGAACACCGGUGGCGAAGGCGGGUCUCUGGGCCGAUACUGACGCUGAGGAGCGAAAGCGUGGGGAGCGAACAGG